rnacentral:rRNA from 1 species
GACGAACCGUCCAAACGUUAUUCGGAAUCACUGGGCUUAAAGGGUGCGUAGGUGGUCCGGUAAGUUGGGUGUGAAAUACCUCGGCCUAACCGAGGAAUGGCGCCCAAAACUGUCGGACUCGAGGAAGGCAGAGGUGAACGGAACUUAGGGUGGAGCGGUGAAAUGCGUUGAUAUCCUAGGGAACACCAGUAGCGAAAGCGGUUCACUGGGCCUUUUCUGACACUGAUGCACGAAAGCCAGGGGAG